AUUGAACGCUGGCUGCAGGCCUAACACAUGCAAGUCGAGCGAGCGGCGGACGGGUGAGUAAUGUAUGGGGACUGCCCGAUAUAGGGGGAUAACUACUGGAAACGGUGGCUAAUACCGCAUACUAACGGCUAACCCAUAUGGGAUUAGCUAUUAGGUGGUGUAAAGGCUCACCUAGUCGACGAUCUCUAGCUGGUCUGAGAGGAUGCUCAGCCACACUGGGACGGAUACACGGCCCAGACUCCUACGGAGGCAGCAGUGGGGAAUAUUGCACAAUGGGCGCAAGCCGGAGGCAGCCAUGCCGCGUGUAGGAAGAAGGCCUUAGGGUUGUAAAGUACGUUCAGCGGGGAGGCGUUACCCGCAGAAGAAGCACCGGCUAACUCCGUGCCAGCAGCCGCGGUAAUUC
rnacentral:rRNA from 1 species